rnacentral:tRNA from 1 species
GCCGCAGUCGCAUAACCUGGUAUUGCGCAGGUCUUGAAAACCUGUCCCGCAAGGGACUCUCGGUUCAAAUCCGAGCUGCGGCG